rnacentral:rRNA from 1 species
AAGGUCUAACCUGCCCAAUGAGGAUUUAAAUGGCCGCAGUAUUUUGACUGUGCAAAGGUAGCAUAAUUAUUAGUUUUUUAAUUGAAAGCUUGUAUGAAGGGUUGGACGAGAUAAAGUCUGUCUUUAUUUAAUUUAUAUUAGAAUUUAACUUUUAAGUAAAAAGGCUUAAAUGUUUAUAAAAGACGAGAAGACCCUAUAGAUCUUUAUUUAUAAAAAAUUUUAAUAAUUUAGGAAUAAUUUAUUUUAAAGUUUUUAAAAAAUUUUAUUGGGGUAAUAUAAAGAUUAAAUGAAUUCUUUUUAUUUUUUACAUUGAUUUAUGAAUAUAUGAUCCAUUAAUAAUGAUUAUAAGAUUAAGUUACCUUAGGGAUAACAGCGUAAUUUUCUUGGAGAGCUCAUAUCGAUAAGAGAGUUUGCGACCUCGAUGUUGGAUUAAAAAUUAUUUUAGGCGUAAAAGUUUAAAAUUUUGGUCUGUUCGACCAUUAAAUUUUUACAUGAUCUGAGUUCAGACCGGCGUAAGCCAGGUCGGUUUCUAUCUUUAUGUUUUUUGAAUAUUUUAGUACGAAAGGACCAAAUAUUUAAUAUAUUUAUAUUUAWUUUUUGAAKAAUAUU